rnacentral:lncRNA from 1 species
AUUUGUCUCCACGGUUGGAAGACUGCUGCUGCAGCACAGACUGGUGUCUCUAUUAAUAGAUAUCUCAGUUGCACUACAGACAGGAAGAAGGGCAAAGGAGAAGAACACGAUGAACGAAAAGCCCACAUCUCUGAGGAUGUAUGCUCCAGGCUACACGCCAGGAAUUCUGGAUCACCUUCUUUUUAAGAGUCAUUAAAAACAGCCCAGCUGUGCCUUGCAGUGGAAAUCACUAGCCGUUGUUGUCAUCAUGUCAA